rnacentral:rRNA from 1 species
GCUUGCUUGUUGGGGUUGUAGGACACUCUAUACGGAGUUACAAAGGACGACAUUAGACGAAUCAUCUGGAAAGAUGAAUCAAAGAAGGUAAUAAUCCUGUAGUCGAAAAUGUUGUCUCUCUUGAGUGGAUCCUGAGUACGACGGAGCACGUGAAAUUCCGUCGGAAUCUGGGAGGACCAUCUCCUAAGGCUAAAUACUCUCUAGUGACCGAUAGUGAACCAGUACCGUGAGGGAAAGGUGAAAAGCACCCCGGAAGGGGAGUGAAAUAGAACCUGAAACCGUGUGCUUACAAGUAGUCAGAGCCCGUUAAUGGGUGAUGGCGUGCCUUUUGUAGAAUGAACCGGCGAGUUACGAUUUGAUGCAAGGUUAAGCAGUAAAUGUGGAGCCGUAGCGAAAGCGAGUCUGAAUAGGGCGUUUAGUAUUUGGUCGUAGACCCGAAACCAGGUGAUCUACCCUUGGUCAGGUUGAAGUUCAGGUAACACUGAAUGGAGGACCGAACCGACUUACGUUGAAAAGUGAGCGGAUGAACUGAGGGUAGCGGAGAAAUUCCAAUCGAACCUGGAGAUAGCUGGUUCUCUCCGAAAUAGCUUUAGGGCUAGCCUCAAGUGAUGAUUAUUGGAGGUAGAGCACUGUUUGGACGAGGGGCCCCUCUCGGGUUACCGAAUUCAGACAAACUCCGAAUGCCAAUUAAUUUAACUUGGGAGUCAGAACAUGGGUGAUAAGGUCCGUGUUCGAAAGGGAAACAGCCCAGACCACCAGCUAAGGUCCCAAAAUAUAUGUUAAGUGGAAAAGGAUGUGGCGUUGCCCAGACAACUAGGAUGUUGGCUUAGAAGCAGCCAUCAUUUAAAGAGUGCGUAAUAGCUCACUAGUCGAGUGACACUGCGCCGAAAAUGUACCGGGGCUAAACAUAUUACCGAAGCUGUGGAUUGUCCUUUGGACAAUGGUAGGAGAGCGUUCUAAGGGCGUUGAAGCAUGAUCGUAAGGACAUGUGGAGCGCUUAGAAGUGAGAAUGCCGGUGUGAGUAGCGAAAGACGGGUGAGAAUCCCGUCCACCGAUUGACUAAGGUUUCCAGAGGAAGGCUCGUCCGCUCUGGGUUAGUCGGGUCCUAAGCUGAGGCCGACAGGCGUAGGCGAUGGAUAACAGGUUGAUAUUCCUGUACCACCUAUAAUCGUUUUAAUCGAUGGGGGGACGCAGUAGGAUAGGCGAAGCGUGCGAUUGGAUUGCACGUCUAAGCAGUAAGGCUGAGUAUUAGGCAAAUCCGGUACUCGUUAAGGCUGAGCUGUGAUGGGAAGAAGACAUUGUGUCUUCGAGUCGUUGAUUUCACACUGCCGAGAAAAGCCUCUAGAUAGAAAAUAGGUGCCCGUACCGCAAACCGACACAGGUAGUCAAGAUGAGAAUUCUAAGGUGAGCGAGCGAACUCUCGUUAAGGAACUCGGCAAAAUGACCCCGUAACUUCGGGAGAAGGGGUGCUCUUUAGGGUUAACGCCCAGAAGAGCCGCAGUGAAUAGGCCCAAGCGACUGUUUAUCAAAAACACAGGUCUCUGCUAAACCGUAAGGUGAUGUAUAGGGGCUGACGCCUGCCCGGUGCUGGAAGGUUAAGAGGAGUGGUUAGCUUCUGCGAAGCUACGAAUCGAAGCCCCAGUAAACGGCGGCCGUAACUAUAACGGUCCUAAGGUAGCGAAAUUCCUUGUCGGGUAAGUUCCGACCCGCACGAAAGGCGUAACGAUUUGGGCACUGUCUCAACGAGAGACUCGGUGAAAUCAUAGUACCUGUGAAGAUGCAGGUUACCCGCGACAGGACGGAAAGACCCCGUGGAGCUUUACUGUAGCCUGAUAUUGAAAUUCGGCACAGCUUGUACAGGAUAGGUAGGAGCCUUUGAAACGUGAGCGCUAGCUUACGUGGAGGCGCUGGUGGGAUACUACCCUAGCUGUGUUGGCUUUCUAACCCGCACCACUUAUCGUGGUGGGAGACAGUGUCAGGCGGGCAGUUUGACUGGGGCGGUCGCCUCCUAAAAGGUAACGGAGGCGCUCAAAGGUUCCCUCAGAAUGGUUGGAAAUCAUUCAUAGAGUGUAAAGGCAUAAGGGAGCUUGACUGCGAGACCUACAAGUCGAGCAGGGUCGAAAGACGGACUUAGUGAUCCGGUGGUUCCGCAUGGAAGGGCCAUCGCUCAACGGAUAAAAGCUACCCCGGGGAUAACAGGCUUAUCUCCCCCAAGAGUUCACAUCGACGGGGAGGUUUGGCACCUCGAUGUCGGCUCAUCGCAUCCUGGGGCUGUAGUCGGUCCCAAGGGUUGGGCUGUUCGCCCAUUAAAGCGGUACGCGAGCUGGGUUCAGAACGUCGUGAGACAGUUCGGUCCCUAUCCGUCGUGGGCGUAGGAAAUUUGAGAGGAGCUGUCCUUAGUACGAGAGGACCGGGAUGGACAUACCUCUGGUGUACCAGUUGUCGUGCCAACGGCAUAGCUGGGUAGCUAUGUGUGGACGGGAUAAGUGCUGAAAGCAUCUAAGCAUGAAGCCCCCCUCAAGAUGAGAUUUCCCAACUUCGGUUAUAAGAUCCCUCAAAGAUGAUGAGGUUAAUAGGUUCGAGGUGGAAGCAUGGUGACAUGUGGAGCUGACGAAUACUAAUCGAUCGAAGACUUAAUCAA